AUGAACAGUGAAAUGACUUCUAUUCUAUCACGAUGUCCUCAAUUCUCUGUUGUUAGUGGUAUUGAGCAGAGUCUUGCUAUGAGUGCCAAAGCAGACCUGGGUGUCCUGCCACAUGAUGCAGACGUCCCGUCUGAAAGCAGCGUCUCUCACGCUCCCAGUGACGGUUCUGCACAGCGGCUCAAACCCCAGGAAACCACCACCAUCAUCUUUCCAGCUUCUGCUCAUCCAUUGCCAAAAGUGGAGCUGCCUCCAAAUGCAAUCAAGGCGAUUAAAGGCAGUGAACUGGAGGCCGCAUCACUUCCUGCUCAGGUUGGAGGGACGAUUGUGCAUGUUCUGGGCUGGAAGGAGGGAAUGGCCAUCCUCCCUGGAAGCAAUCUGAAGUUAUGUGUUAGUGAUACUGGUUCACUGGAAGUGAUCAGUGAAGGGAAAAUAGGCUCUGCUAACCUGACCACUGAAGGAGCGCAGACAAAAUCAGCUGAUAUGGAGCUCAAACAAGCUGAAAAACCAGACGUCUCAGCGGGUGGGAUUGUCCGGUCUGCUGCCUUUGUGGAGGCCGGCAGACUUCAGAGAGCACGUAUGGAGGCUCAGGACAGUCCAGCUCAUAGCAAGUGCACUGAGACAUCGGCCAGACAGACUUACCUGACGGAGCUACACGGAGAGAUGAUGUCUGAAAAUGCUGCAGGGAUUGCUGAAGCACAGGUGAUCUAUCAUGAGCAUGAAAUGCUGAAGCCCAUGAAGAAGAGGAAGAGGAGGGAAUACAACAGCCCAUCAGAGGAAGAGUCUGAUGCUGAGCCAAUGGUGCAGUUCUUUUGCUUCUUUAAAUGA
rnacentral:lncRNA from 12 species